rnacentral:rRNA from 1 species
UACGAAGGGGGCUAGCGUUGCUCGGAAUCACUGGGCGUAAAGCGCACGUAGGCGGGUCUUUAAGUCAGGGGUGAAAUCCCGGAGCUCAACUCCGGAACUGCCUUUGAUACUGGAGAUCUUGAGUCCGGGAGAGGUGAGUGGAACUGCGAGUGUAGAGGUGAAAUUCGUAGAUAUUCGCAAGAACACCAGUGGCGAAGGCGGCUCACUGGCCCGAUACUGACGCUGAGGCACGAAAGCGUGGGGAGCAAACAGG